rnacentral:rRNA from 1 species
UACAGAGGUCCCAAGCGUUGUUCGGAUUCACUGGGCGUAAAGGGUGCGUAGGCGGUCGGGUAAGUCUGAUGUGAAAUCUCACAGCUUAACUGUGAAACUGCAUUGGAUACUAUCCGGCUCGAGGAAUGGAGGGGAGACUGGAAUACUUGGUGUAGCAGUGAAAUGCGUAGAUAUCCGGAGGAACACCGGUGGCGAAGGCGGCUUCCUGGACCGAUCACUGACGCUGAGGCGCGAAAGCUAGGGGAGCAAACGGG